rnacentral:lncRNA from 1 species
UAUAAUAUAAUUAUUUUUUAAUAUUAUUUAAAAAUAUAUAAAAGUUAUUACUUUAAGAGCUAAGCUUUUUAAAUUUAAUUUUUUUUUAAUAUUUACCGCGCCGUUGAUCAAAUCAUGUUGAUUUUUUGAAUAUUUUUCCUUCAAACCCUUGUAUAUAUAUUGCCUUGAGCUGGCAAAAAGCCAACAUUUCAUUCUCACAGCAAAUUAGCAGAAGCCA